rnacentral:rRNA from 1 species
CCUACGGGUGGCAGCAGUGGGGGAUAUUGGGCAAUGGGCGCAAGCCUGACCCAGCAACGCCGCGUGAAGGAAGGAGGCUUUCGGGUUGUAAACUUCUUUUCUCAGGGACGAAGCAAGUGACGGUACCUGUGGAAUAAGCCACGGCUAACUACGUGACAGCAGCCGCGGUAAUACGUAGGUGGAGAGCGUUAUCCGGAUUUACUGGGUGUAAAGGGCGUGUAGGCGGGACUGCAAGUCAGAUGUGAAAACCACGGGCUCAACCUGGGGCCGGCAUUUGAAACUGUAGUUCUGGAGUACUGGAGAGGCAGACGGAAUGCCUAGUGUAGCGGUGAAAUGCGUAGAUAUUAGGAGGAACACCAGUGGCGAAGGCGGUCUGCUGGACAGCGACUGACGCUGAGGCGCGAAAGCGUGGGGAGCAAACAGGAUUAGAUACCCGGGUAGUC